AACCUCGGAAUUGCAUUUGAAACUGGCAGACUAGAGUACUGUAGAGGGGGGGUAGAAUUUCAGGUGUAGCGGUGAAAUGCGUAGAGAUCUGAAGGAAUACCGGUGGCGAAGGCGGCCCCCUGGACAGAUACUGACACUCAGAUGCGAAAGCGUGGGGAGCAAACAGGAUUAGAUACCCUGGUAGUCCACGCCGUAAACGAUGUCUACUUGGAGGUUGUGGCCUUGAGCCGUGGCUUUCGGAGCUAACGCGUUAAGUAGACCGCCUGGGGAGUACGGUCGCAAGAUUAAAACUCAAAUGAAUUGACGGGGGCCCGCACAAGCGGUGGAGCAUGUGGUUUAAUUCGAUGCAACGCGAAGAACCUUACCUACUCUUGACAUCCAGAGAA
rnacentral:rRNA from 1 species